GGCGGGGUAGCUCAGUUGGUGAGAGCGCACGACUCAUAAUCGUGAGGUCGCGGGUUCGAAUCCCGCCCCCGCUA
rnacentral:tRNA from 1 species